ensembl:lncRNA
AUUUGCAGGAGCUCAGCUCCAGCUACCCCAAUUUAACCGCUGCUGGCAAACACUUGGCCCUCGUCCUACCUCCUAUCCACAACUCACUUCAUGCUGUGUUUUGACCACCCACGACCAGCGUCUAAAUCCUAGGGGUUCAUCUUGUUGGAUAUCUUGUCGCUAGAUGCCAGCUCUGUUCUAAUAAGAAAAUGGGAGAAGACAUUGCUAGUAAAAGUCAAUUAGAGCGAAAAGAGGAGGGAAGAGGAUCUGACAUAUGCCACCAUCGACCACGUAAACACCCAGACAGCCAGAGUCAUCGUGGAUUCAAGCAAUAGUGAUUGUGACUAUGCCGUGAUUAACCUUCCAGCUGACCCUGGCCUCCAAUCGCCAAUCAAAGAAGACUGCACGGAUGACUAUGUCCUCAUGGGCUGACCUCAGGGACAAUGUUUAUUUGAGGGUAGGAUGAGAGGGGGUAGGAGAGUUGCGGCGACAUGGAAACUGGAUAAGCUGCAUAAGACUUGACCUGGUCCACUGAUACGACCAUGACAUACAAACUGUUCUAGAAGCAGUGUGGGCUGGCUGAAUAAUGGGUCUGUUGGUUGUGUUGUUGCGAGCUUAUACUCAGGGGGUUAAAUCGGGCGGGGGCCAGCUGAGCUGCAACACACAUGGUUGACAUGAGACCUGGGGAGAGCUGAGGUCCAGGACUUCCACUGGCCAGUAGUUUCUUUUUUUUUUUUAUAUACAAGUAGAAAAUAAAAAGUAGGGCUCCCCCACUUCCCAAAUCCCGGUGUAACUCCUGCUCAUAUCGUAUACUUGUGUUAAUGUAUGUACAGUAGGCA